rnacentral:rRNA from 1 species
AUACGGAGGAUCCGAGCGUUAUCCGGAUUUAUUGGGUUUAAAGGGUGCGCAGGCGGCCAUUUAAGUCAGCGGUUAAAUCGUGGGGCUCAACCCCAUUCUGCCGUUGAUACUGGGUGGCUUGAUUGCGGUCGAGGUUGGCGGAAUUCGUUGUGUAGCGGUGAAAUGCAUAGAUAUGACGAAGAACACCGAUUGCGUAGGCAGCUGACCAGACCGCAAAUGACGCUCAUGCACGAAAGUGCGGGGAUCGAACAGGAUUAGAUACCCUGGUAGUCCGCACAGUAAACGAUGAAUACUUGUUUUCGGCGAUAUAAUGUCGGAGGCAAAGCGAAAGCGAUAAGUAUUCCACCUGGGGAGUACGCCGGUAACGGUGAAACUCAAAGGAAUUGACGGGG